CUCUCCUCUACCAGCCUCCAGCCUCGGUCCCGGGAAAGCCCAGCUUUGGAAGGACACGCUCAACAAGACAGGUUUGAUCUGCAACACAUUUCCCUGCCCACUGAGGGAGGGAUGCAGCCCAGACUGUCGGUGCCAGGCUGCUCCUCCCGAAGGGGAUGGGGGCGGGGGGGGGGGGGGGGGGGGGGCGGGCAGGCAGGAGCUCUGCCGUGCUCCCCACCAGCCCAGGCAGCUCCCCAGGCCCCUCCGGGCUCAGGCGGGGCUCGUCGGGGUGAAAAACUGGCCCUGGAAGCAAGCAGUGAUCUCAGCCUUGCACCAGGAGCUGGCCAAGUGAGGUCAAGCUGCAGAGCAUCCUCCGCAUGAUGAGUCAGAGCAGCCAAGCACCGGAGUCGGAGGUCCUGCCGCUGCGUGGGGGCUGGGCAGGCAGCCGAGGGCUCCGGGAAAGCCCACAGAAGCGGGGUGCCCCACAGAAGCGGGGUGCCGUGCUGCCCCCGCGGAGGGCAGCGCUCUGGGGAGGAACGGAGGAGAGCGUGGGCUGGGAGCCAGCGUGGCCGCGCUGCCGUGCCUCCAGCUUUUGCCCCCGGAGGUGUGAGGCUGUUCCGCCUCCACAGCGGGCAUGGAGCAACAAGGCAAACAGGAGACCAGAGAAGAUCAUAAUCAUGGUUUUAUUUGUCAUGAUCCCACUGUCCAACUAAUUGACUAGUUGCAAGUGACCCACAAAAAAAUGGACUGAAGAUUUACUGAAACUUUUUUUAGUCCAACAUAAAUGAGGAAGAAAAAAAUACUUCUGACAUUUCCAAAAAACAGAAAUAAUAGCAAAGUAUAUUAAUAUA